CGCUGGCGGCAGGCCUAACACAUGCAAGUCGAGCGCGCCUUCGGGCGAGCGGCGGACGGGUUAGUAACGCGUGGGAACGUGCCCAGAUCUACGGAAUAGCCACUGGAAACGGUGAGUAAUACCGUAUACGCCCUUCGGGGGAAAGAUUUAUCGGAUUUGGAUCGGCCCGCGUUAGAUUAGGUAGUUGGUGGGGUAACGGCCUACCAAGCCUACGAUCUAUAGCUGGUUUUAGAGGAUGAUCAGCAACACUGGGACUGAGACACGGCCCAGACUCCUACGGGAGGCAGCAGUGGGGAAUCUUGGACAAUGGGGGCAACCCUGAUCCAGCCAUGCCGCGUGAGUGAAGAAGGCCCUAGGGUCGUAAAACUCUUUCGCCUGUGAUGAUAAUGACAGUAGCAGGUAAAGAAACCCCGGCUAACUCCGUGCCAGCAGCCGCGGUAAUACGGAGGGGGUUAGCGUUGUUCGGAAUUACUGGGCGUAAAGCGCACGUAGGCGGAUUAGAAAGUUAGAGGUGAAAUCCCGGGGCUCAACCCCGGAACUGCCUUUAAAACUACUAGUCUAAAGUUCGAGAGAGGUGAGUGGAAUUCCGAGU
rnacentral:rRNA from 1 species